GCCUGGGUGGCUCAGUCAGUUAAGCAUCUGACUUCAGCUCAGGUCAUGAUCUCUCGGUCUGUGGGUUUGAUCCCCACGUCGGGCU
rnacentral:tRNA from 1 species